UACAGAGACCUCAAGCGUUAUCCGGAAUCAUUGGGCGUAAAGCGUACCGAUCGGUGGUUUUGCAAGUCAGAGGUGAAAUCCCAAGGCUCAACUUUGGGACUGUCCUUUGAAACUGCAACACUAGAGGGACAAAGAGGAAGCUAGAACUAACGGUGUAGGGGUAAUAUCCGUUGAUAUCGUUAGGAAUACCGAUAGCGAAGGCAGGCUUCUGGGUGUCACCUGACACUGCUAGGACGAAAGCGUGGGGAGCAAAAAGG
rnacentral:rRNA from 1 species